rnacentral:rRNA from 14 species
CUGCAAAUGGCUCAUUACAACAGCAAUAAUUUUCGCAGUGCUUCAUCGCACAUGGAUAACUGUGGAAAAUCUAGGGCUAAUACAUGCGUCAUACCUGACUUCUGGGAAAGGUUGCUAUCAUGAGUCAUAGAAUCGGCGCAGGCUCUGCCUUGCUACCAAGGUGAGUCAUGAUAAUUUAGCUGAUCGCAUUGCAUC